GGUGAGGUAUUACUUAACUCAUACAUCUAACCAAGUCCAGGCUUCCAGAAUUUCUCUAUUCAAUGUUAUUAAUUAGGCAAGAAGAAGGUAAUGAAUUCUUUUCCUUUUUUUUUGUUUUUUUUUUGUUUUUUUUUUUUUUUUUUGGUCUUUUUACCUUUUCUUGAGCCGCUCCCGAGGCAUAUGGAGCAGCCCGAGAAAUGGCAAAAAACAAAAACAAACAAACAAACAAAAAACAAAAAAAAACAACUUACAUUCCUUUCCUCCACCUGUUACAGUGAGCUUUUCUAAUAACUACAGAGUAUUUAUAACUUUUUAAAACUGUGAAUCACUAUGUGAAUCACUAUAUCAACUAUACCUCAAUUUAAAAAAAGAAUUUUAAGUAUACUUUUACUAUUUCAUAUGUGUUAAUUCAAACUGUAGAGUGAUUUUUCAAGAUCCUGAAAGGCGCAUAUUAUAUUUUUUGCUAUCCCCUAGAGAGACUACCUCAGGAUCAAACUUGGUAUGUUGAACUAUUUGAUUGGAAAAAAUAAGAUGUAUACUGGAAGAAGCAGAACAGUAAUAAUCUAAAUCCUGGGUUAAAUCCCAGGUCUGGCACUUACUAGGCUGCCUUGGAUAGUUUAGCUAAACUCACUAACUCAAACUCAAAUACAUCUAGUCUGAGGAUCACCCUAAAAACAUUCUAACCAAAAAUGCCAAAGAUACCUAAUAAUCAGAGAAAAAAACCAAGAAUUUGUGUUGCUGAUUUUAUGCUGACCUUGUUUUUUUUCAGGUUAGUAUUUUCAAACAAACAAUUCAUAUUAUUUUUGUUUCGCUUUAGCAAAAGGUAUUUAUCUGCACAAGGAAGAUGAUACAUAUUGUAAAUGUAAUUGUAUUACUCAAAGAAUUCUUUAAAGUGGCAAGUAGAAUUUAAAAUAUUCCAAUAGAGUACACUAUUACCUACAUUACUGAAAUUCAAUCCACAAUAGCAUUGUAAUAUCACAUAUAAUUCCAAUAUAUUCUUCUUCAAAUAUUCUAAAAUACUGCAUUCACUUUCCUGCCAUCUGUUUACUUCAUAUGUCUGUCCAGUCACCAUGAAACUAUCUUCUCUUCUCCCCCCCACCCCCCCACACACAAUCUCGCUCUCUUUCUUGUGCUGUCUCUGGCUCUCUCUCUGGCUCUCUCUCUCGCUCUCUCUCGCUCUAUCGCUCUCUCUCUCCAUUCCUUAAUCUUUCUUCUUGAGGUGACUACAGCCACUAGAGGGCAAUAAGUUUACAAAGAUAGAUGUACUUAUCUAUAAAGAAUUGAGAUUCACACACUAGGAAGUUUGAAAACAUCCCAUCACAAACCCUAAAGCACCGGCAAUUAGACUCAAAUAUGCAAGGUACAUACUUCAAACUCAAAAGUUUAUCCUAGAAAAGGAGUUCAAAACAGCACAUAAUAAUGCUCAAAAAAGGAAUUCCAUUUUGUCUCUAAGCACUAAAAAAAGACUAAUUUGCUUACAGACACAUAGCAGUAUUAGAAAUUGGGAUUUUUUUUAAAUAUUAGCCAGACCAGAGAAGGAAAAAAAGGGGAAAACAAAAAUACAAAAUGGUAGAAUUUGCAGGGUGGAUAGAAAAGAAUUGAUUUCUUCCAAUGCCUCCACAGCUACAUUCAAAAUAGGGUGAACUAUAGUUCCCACUGUAGGUCAGCAGUAACAAACCUGACUAGUAUCCAUGAGGAUUCAGGUUAGAUCCCUGACCCCACUCAGUGGGUUAAGGAUCCAGAGUUGUCAUGAGCUGUGGUAUAGGUUGAAGAUGCAGCUCGGAUCCUGCGUUGCUGUGGCUGUGGUGUAGGCCAGCAGCUGCAGCUCCCAGUCAGCCCCUAGCCUGGGAACUGCCAUAUGCAGCAGGUUCAGCCCUUUAAAAAAAGGGGGAGGGGGAUUUAACAGGUGUAUUUUAGGGAAAGAAAAACAGUGAUUGUGAGAGGAUUUACUUUUUUUCUCACAAUUAAGGAUGCGAAGGGAGAAAAGUUAACAGUUAUUAAUAUUUUAACAGAUAGUUUUACUAUUUUUUGCACAGAACCCAAAUCCAAAUGAACUUUUUAGCUUUGCAUUUACUUACACUGACAAUGCAAAACUGUGACACUUUUACACUGACGUUUUUCCUCAUUUUCUUACCCGCAUUGGAUGUAUAUCAGCAUAAGGAGGUUUUCCUUCCGCCAUUUCUACAGAAGUAAUGCCAAGGGACCAGAUGUCAGCCACACAGUUAUAGCCUAUUUCCUGAAUUACCUCAGGAGCCAUCCAAAAUGGAGUUCCUAUCACAGUAUUGCGUUUUGCCAUUGUAUCCUAAAAAACAUUACACAGACAUAAAUGCUAUUACAAAAACACUAAGGAAAUGUAUUUACCAAAGUGUUCUUUAAACUAAAUAUGUGAAAUACUCAAAUACUACUAAUUGUGUCUGAAAUUGACUAUCUGCCUAAAAUUUCAGCUAGUUGUAACAUGACAUAUUUUGGAAUUCUGAAUUAUGAAGUAACCAAAAGAUCACAAGGAGAUUAUCUCCACUAUCUUCACUAAAGACGGUCAUUAAAGAUAGUAUUGUAACAAUAAAAGCUACAUAAAAGAGCAAAUGCAGCUUUCCAUUCUGAACACUUCAGCACUUUGAUGACAAUAUAUAUUUUCAUUGUGAUUCAAUGUCUCAAGUUGAAAAUAAAAGUAGCAAAUAAUAUGCAAAUCAUGGCUCCUUCUCCCUGAAAACAAUGAAGUAAAAAGCAUUUCUUU
rnacentral:lncRNA from 1 species